CCCCUARUAACUGCGAGUGAAGCGGGAUGAGCUCAAAUUUAAAAUCUGGCGCAAGCCCGAGUUGUAACCUAGAGAAGUGUUUUCGGCCGUCGCACUUGGACAAGUCCCUUGGAACAGGGCGUCAUAGAGGGUGAGAAUCCCGUACUUGCCAAGCUCGCGAUGUCUAUGUGAUACGCUCUCGAAGAGUCGAGUUGUUUGGGAAUGCAGCUCAAAACGGGUGGUAAAUUCCAUCUAAAGCUAAAUAUUGGCGAGAGACCGAUAGCGAACAAGUACCGUGAGGGAAAGAUGAAAAGCACUUUGGAAAGAGAGUUAAACAGUACGUGAAAUUGUUGAAAGGGAAGCGCUUGGAGUCAGUCGCGUCUUCAGGGACUCAGCCUUAACCGGUGCAUUUCCUUGUCGACGGGCCAACAUCGAUUUCAGCCGUGGGAGAAGGGCCUGAGGAAAGUGGCAGCUUCGGCUGUGUUAUAGCCUCUUGUCGUACGCCACGGCUGGGAUCGAGGACUGCGGCUUCGGCCUAGGAUGUUGGCGUAAUGG
rnacentral:rRNA from 1 species